rnacentral:rRNA from 1 species
AUUGAACGCUGGCGGCAUGCUUUACACAUGCAAGUCGAACGGCGGCGCGUGCUUCUUCCUGGCGGCGAGUGGCGAACGGAUGGGUAAUUCAUCGGAACGUGCCCAGCAGUGGGGGGUAGCACAACGAAAGGCGGAUUAAUACCGCAUACGAUCUGAGGGUGAAAGAGGGGGACCAAGAGGCAUCGCUCUAUUGGAGCGACCGAUGGCGGAUUAGCUAGUUGGUGGGGUAAAGGGUUACCAAGGCGACGAUCAGUAGCUUGUCUGAGAGGAGGACCAGCAACACUGGGACUGGGCCACGGCCAAGACUCCUACGGGAGGCAGCAGUGGGGAAUUUUGGCCAAUGGGGGAAAUCCUGCCCCAGCCAUGCGCCGUGCGGGAAGAAGGCCUUCGGGUUGUAAACCGCUUUUGUUCGGGAAGAAAUCCUCUGGGCUAAUACCCCGGGGGGAUGACGGUACCGGAACAAUAAGCAACGGCUAACUACGUG